AUUGAACGCUGGCGGCAUGCCUUACACAUGCAAGUCGAACGGCAGCACGGGAGCAAUCCUGGUGGCGAGUGGCGAACGGGUGAGUAAUAUAUCGGAACGUGCCCGGUCGUGGGGAUAACGUAGCGAAAGCUACGCUAAUACCGCAUACGAUCUACGGAUGAAAGCGGGGGAUCGCAAGACCUCGCGCGAUUGGAGCGGCCGAUAUCAGAUUAGGUAGUUGGUGAGGUAAAGGCUCACCAAGCCGACGAUCUGUAGCUGGUCUGAGAGGACGACCAGCCACACUGGGACUGAGACACGGCCCAGACUCCUACGGGAGCAGCAGUGGGAAUUUGGACAAUGGGCGCAAGCCUGAUCCAGCAAUGCCGCGUGCAGGAUGAAGGCCUU
rnacentral:rRNA from 1 species